rnacentral:rRNA from 1 species
AGUGAACGCUGGCGGUAGGCCUAACACAUGCAAGUCGAACGGCAGCACAGGAGAGCUUGCUCUCUGGGUGGCGAGUGGCGGACGGGUGAGGAAUACAUCGGAAUCUACUCUGUCGUGGGGGAUAACGUAGGGAAACUUACGCUAAUACCGCAUACGACCUACGGGUGAAAGCAGGGGAUCUUCGGACCUUGCGCGGUUGAAUGAGCCGAUGUCGGAUUAGCUAGUUGGCGGGGUAAAGGCCCACCAAGGCGACGAUCCGUAGCUGGUCUGAGAGGAUGAUCAGCCACACUGGAACUGAGACACGGUCCAGACUCCUACGGGGGGCAGCAGUGGGGAAUAUUGGACAAUGGGCGCAAGCCUGAUCCAGCCAUACCGCGUGGGUGAAGAAGGCCUUCGGGUUGUAAAGCCCUUUUGUUGGGAAAGAAAUCCAGCUGGCUAAUACCCGGUUGGGAUGACGGUACCCAAAGAAUAAGCACCGGCUAACUUCGUGCCAGCAGCUGCAGUAA